CAUCGUUAUCUAUUCGAUUAUCAUCGGUCCCAGUCUUGCCCUGGAAACGAAUACGGUAACCUUUUAUUGGAAAAAAAAUACCAAAUAAAACCAAGAAAAGGGCACUACCACUGUUUGGUAGCUGUCGACUGUCCAGUUCUUAAAAUCAUGCCCAUUUUCACGACAAAACCCUAAUUUCCUUUUAUUUGCUUCCAUUUGCUCCUUAUCUCUGCCGAUGCAGCACGAUGACCCUAGAAACGGUGAGUCGACUCACCGCAGCUCCAAGAAACCCAAAAUUUCAUCUCAGUUCAUUACCGAGUCGGAUAUCCGAGACGAAUUCUCUCACCACCACCCACGUGUCGCACGCAUCAACAACGGGAGUUUCGGUAGCUGUCCCGGUUCGGUUCUUGCUGCCCAACGCCAUUGGCAGCUACAGUUCCUCCGUCAACCUGAUGCCUUUUACUUUAAUUCCCUUCGUGACGGAAUAACGGCUUCGCGGAAAAUUAUAAAGGACCUCAUCAACGCUGACCACGUCGACGAGGUCUCCCUCGUCGAUAACGCCACAACCGCUGCGGCCAUCGUGCUCCAACGGAUCGGCCGCAGUUUCGCCGAAGGGAAGUUCCAGAAAAAUGACACUGUUUUGAUGCUCCACUGCGCGUAUGAAGCCGUCAAAAAAUCAAUCCAAGCGUACGUCACCCGGGCCGGCGGCUCCGUCAUUGAGGUACGGCUACCAUUCCCGGUAAAUUCAGAGGUAGAAAUCAUAUCCGAACUCAAAAAAUCGAUCGACGAAGGAAAAUCCAACGGUAGAAGGAUAAGGUUAGCGAUUAUCGAUCAUAUUACAUCAAUGCCAUCGGUUGUUAUUCCGGUAAAAGAGUUAGUUAGGAUUUGUAGAGCGGAAGGAAUAGAGCAGGUGUUCGUAGACGCGGCUCACGCUAUUGGGAGUGUGAAAGUGGAUGUUAAAGAAGUUGGAGCUGAUUUUUAUGUUAGCAAUUUACAUAAAUGGUUCUUUUGCCCGCCUUCUGUAGCAUUUUUAUACUGUAAUAAAUCGACUACAUCAUCUGAUUUGCAUCACCCUGUUGUUUCACAUGAGUAUGGAAAUGGGUUGCCUAUCGAAAGCGCCUGGACUGGGACUAGGGAUUAUAGUUCUCAGUUAGUUGUUCCUGCAGUUUUGGAGUUUGUUAACAGGUUCGAAGGAGGGAUUGAGGGGAUAAUGAAGAGGAACCAUGAUCAAGUGGUGAAGAUGGGGAAGAUGUUGGCGGAAUCAUGGGGGACAAAUUUAGGGUCUCCCCCGGAGAUGUCUGCUGCAAUGAUUAUGGUUGGUUUGCCGUCGAGGUUGUGCCUUAAUAGUGAGAAGGAUGCUUUGAAGUUGAGGUCACAUUUGCGGGAUUGUUAUGAGGUUGAAGUUCCAAUCUUUCAUCAGGUUCCAAAGGAUGGGGAAGAGGGUGUUAGAGAUAAGGAUGGAUUUAUUACGGGAUAUGUGAGAAUUUCUCAUCAAGUUUAUAAUACAUUGGAGGAUUAUGAGAAGUUAAGGGAUGCUAUUAAUCAGUUAGUCGAGGAUGGGAAGACUUGCAAAAUGCUUUUUAAGGAAUGAAGAGGGAACCUAUAUUCACAGGAGGUGGAAAGGAGAGGCAAAAAGGGGGCUUGGGACAGUUGAUUUCAUGCUAGAUAUAACUUAAUGCAGUCAUAAAGGUUGGAGCAGCUUUCCAUGGAAUAACGUACGUGCUUUGCCAGUUUUCUGAUGCUUGCGACAUCACACAGUUUUUAAAGAACCAAAAAUGAUUGGGAAAGAGAAGGUAGAAGAAGUAGCUAUUAUGUGUGCCUCUUGGAACCGCGAAAGCGUUUUGGAAUAACUUUUUGCCAAUGUAGUCUGACAGGUGCCUAGGGCUUUGUAUCAAUCCCUUGUAGUUCGGCAAUAAUAAAUGUAUGAAUGAAUCCAGCAUUUUUUAGCAGUUAAACCUGCUUUCAGCUGAAA